GAUGAAGAACGUAGCGAAAUGCGAUACGUAAUGUGAAUUGCAAAUUCAGUGAAUCAUCGAGUCUUUGAACGCACAUUGCGCCCCCUGGUAUUCCGGGGGGCAUGCCUGUCCGAGCGUCAUUGCUGCCCUCAAGCACGGCUUGUGUGUUGGGCCCCGUCCUCCGAUCCCGGGGGACGGGCCCGAAAGGCAGCGGCGGCACCGCGUCCGGUCCUCGAGCGUAUGGGGCUUUGUCACCCGCUCUGUAGGCCCGGCCGGCGCUUGCCGAUCAACCCAAAUUUUUAUCCAGGAUGACCUCGGAUCAGGUAGGGAUACCCGCUGAACUUAAGCAUAUCAAUAAGCGGAGGA
rnacentral:misc_RNA from 1 species